ACCUACUUGACUCGGCGGUUAGGGUAUCACUUUCAUACGACAAGAGUCAUUGGUUCAAAUCCAAUAGUAGGUA
rfam:Triticum aestivum genome assembly, contig: Triticum_aestivum_CS42_TGACv1_scaffold_342372_4DL